rnacentral:rRNA from 1 species
UACAGAGGUCCCAAGCGUUGUUCGGAUUCACUGGGCGUAAAGGGUGCGUAGGUGGCCGGGUAAGUCUGAUGUGAAAUCUCUGGGCUCAACCCAGAAAUGGCAUUGGAAACUAUCCGGCUAGAGGAGUGGAGGGGGAACUGGAAUACUUGGUGUAGCAGUGAAAUGCGUAGAUAUCUGGAGGAACACCGGUGGCGAAGGCGGCAUCCUGGACCGAGAUCGACGCUGAGGCGCGAAAGCUAGGGGAGCAAACGGG